rnacentral:sRNA from 1 species
AUGUGCCGCUCGUACACGCCGGUUCCUGCGCGCUGGCCAUGCCCACCUGACGACUGCUUGCCACGUGUCGUCGGCC